rnacentral:lncRNA from 1 species
UUCAGGUGGCGAUGGAGGAGGGGGGCCUCAGGGUGCAUGCUAGGGAGAGAGGGGCCGGGCAUGCGGCCAGCCAGGGAGGAGGAAGAAAGAAGAAGAAGGAAGAAGAAGAAAGGAAGAAAGAGAAGGAAGAAAAGAAAAGAGAAAAAGAAAUAGGAGAAAAGAGAAAAAGAAAGGGAGAGUCAGCGGUGAUUGCGGAGAAUGCUCGGAGCACGCGCGGCGGUUUGUCGACCAGCA